rnacentral:rRNA from 1 species
GACAGAGGGUGCGAACGUUGCUCGGAAUUACUGGGCGUAAAGCGCGUGUAGGCGGGCAUGCAAGUCAGGUGUGAAAGCCCCAGGCUCAACCUGGGAACUGCACUUGAAACUGCAUGUCUUGAGUGCCGGAGAGGAUCGUGGAAUUCCUGGUGUAGAGGUGAAAUUCGUAGAUAUCAGGAGGAACACCGGUGGCGAAGGCGGCGAUCUGGACGGUUACUGACGCUGAGACGCGAAAGCGUGGGGAGCAAACAGG